UAGCACACAAAAUUACACAUAUCUCAAUAUUUAUAAUUUAAUAUUAUAUAUAUAUAAUUAUAGUUAUUAUUCUUGUUGAGGAUUGUGGAUCGUAAUCGGCGAAAUAAAUAGAAACAUUUUCAUUGCAAAUACAGAUGAUAAUAGAAUACUUUUGUAUUUAUUUAAUGUGAUUUACAAGAUGAUCAUAGAUACCUAUUACGCGU